rnacentral:lncRNA from 1 species
CUGGAGUAUGAAAAUUAUGUGUGGAGAGGAAAGCCUCUUGUGUUUGUGUUCAUGUAAAUGACCUCAAUACUAUAGACCUUUACAGAAAGAGAUAGCCUAAUGAUGGGAAGCCAAGAUAACUCUAUUCCUCUAUGUACCAGAGCUCUUGUAAAGCCAAUGGAUACCCCUUGAGGCUGUUGUUGACCACCAGGAACUGAAACGAGGGAAAGUAUAACCAUGGAUAAGAGAGGAUUACUGCAUAUCUAUACUGUGGGAUUCUACUCAGCAGUAAAAAGAAAUGAGCUAUUGACAUACAUAACAAUGUGGAUGGACCUCUGAGGCUCUACGUUGAAUGAAAAAAAAAAGGUCCAUACCCAGGCUUUGAAGUCCGAGGCAUCAAAUGACACAACUCUGUAUGGCUCCUCAAUUGCAGCCACAGGAAAGAUUCUGGACUGGGACCAUCUAGCUGAGUGACUCCUCCAUUCUUACCUCCAUGAAGAUGUGAUGUCUCCCUCCUCCUCAUGGCUUGUGACUUUGGCCUGCUGCCUGGUGCCACUCUUCCUGGAUUGCACUCCCCAGGUGACAGUGCAAGCACUAGAGGAAGAUUCCACAAGCUCACUGACAAGUCAUAAAAGAACAUUUCUCAAACUGAAAUCCAGGCAUAUAUCCUCAGGAACUGUGAAUUUAAGAGAAAUCUUAAAAUUCUUGUGUUUUCAUUUUUGUGGCAACCUGACAAAAGUGUUAAUGGAAUCAUCUGGAUAACCCCUAUAUGGACCUGGCCAUUGGGUUCAGUGCCGUUUGAGGCUAUUGUUGGGCACUCAAAAGGAAAUCAGAUGGAGCCUCGAGAAGGCCACAGUAAUCAGUUCAAUGUGAAAUUAUUACAAUAGAGGUACAGUGCUCUGGAGUGCAGCUUAUCAAGGAGGGAGCAAGCAGAUAAGUUGUACAGCAAGAAGAUGGAGUAGUCACCAGGUUGUUUUGUCAACUGUAAUUGGAUCCCGUACUCUACCCACAAUAAUGGUGUUCCUGGGAAGAAGUCAUGAGCUUUGGGCAUAUGUAACCCUCUUAUGCAUUACUAGUAGUGAGUUGAACAAAAUCCUUCCAGAUUUGCUAAGCUGAGGUCCCAGGCCUCACAGGUUUGUCAAUGACACCAAGGCAAGUCUUGAUUAAGGUUGAUAAUGGUAACUUACAGUUAAUACUGAUGAAAUUAUUACUUUUCAAGCUUUGAUUACAUUAUUUUUUGAGUAGGCCACACUUUCAGAAGAUAUAAAAUAUUGUUCAGUGAAAACUCUUUUCUCCAUCUGUUUCCCUAAACAUGUGUUUCCUUUUCUUGGAGGCAACCAAUACUACAAUUUCUUGAGUCUCUUCCAGAAAUAGUGUAUGCACAGACAAGCACUCACAUAUGCAAUCUUAAAGAAAAUUUGAUUAGUGUCAGAUUUUUAUAUCAAGGAUAACAUUAACAAUGAAUUUUCUUCUCUUCAGGGAGAAAUAGUUAUUAGUUUUUCAAAUUGCAAAAUAAUGCAUAUUCAUUACAGAAAACCUAGAAAAUACAAAAAACAGAAGACAAAAUGAAUAUUCCCUUUAUCUCAGCAUUUGGAGAUGAUUUUUAUUAUUAUUAUUAUUAUUUGGUAUGAGGAAUUGAACUCAGGACCUGUGCUUGCCAGACAGGUGUAGUGCCACUGAGCUAAAUCCCUGGCCCUUUGGAGAUAACUUUUAGUUAUCUAUAAUUAUUUAUAUUGCCUUCUAGUUUUUUCACAUGACAUGUACAAUAUACUUCAUUGACAUUUUUUCUUUUCCCUCACUAUAUUGUUUCUACCUUUGCAAGUCAUUAAAUGUGUUUUCUAGACAUCAUGGCCUGUUCCUGUAUAGCAUAAUUUAUUUAACCAUGAUCUCUUGUUUGAAAUUCAGGUUGACUACAGUUUUGGACCAUUAUAAGCUUUCAUUUGAUGUAUAUUUAGCUUUUAUUUAUUGAUGGCUUUAUAAAUUAAGUGCAAAUUGUCUAGGGAGAAGGCUGUCUUUGUCUUGAUGACAUAUAUCCCUCGAGUACAGUGCCUAGCUAAAUGGAUUUAAUGGUUUUAAGACCAUAUCUGCAAUAAAAAUGAAAGGUUUAAGUAAAAUUAACCAGAAGGUUUUGAGUUUCUGGUGUAAGUUGACUUUUGGAAGAUAGGAUAGUAUUCUUUCACUUAGAGCUACAAAUUCUGUUUGUUCUCUUUUAUAGAAGGAAGAAUUGUGAGUUGGGAUCUUAAAUAGAAGAACAAAGUUAAAAAAUGGGCCUCAAUUUUUAUAAACCUAACCCUCUGCAAUUCCCCUUGUUUUGAGACAAAGGAGAACAUUUUACACCACUGGAAUAAACAAACUGUAGGGAUACCUACACCAGCUGAAAAACAACAGAUAAAACACUCUCUGCACAAGUAAUUGUAAGACCACACCUUUAACACAUUACCAAUAGCUGCUUUCUCAAAACAUUUCCUUGUUCCUUGGGGGAAGUCACUUUUAAAUGAUAGUUAUAGUGCUGGUGAGGUAGCUCAGUGGUAGAGAACUCAAGGCCUUUGGUUCAGUCCCCAGGACCAUCAAAUAAAAAAGGUGAUAGUCCAUAGACAAUUGGGCUCUUGUUUUUUGUUAUUGUAAACUAGGCAACACAAUUUUUGGUACUUGUUCAGUCUGUAAAGAAAUCCUUCCCAUCCCUAACUGUGAGUCUCCACAGUGGAAAGAAAGAAAGGUGCCUCCAGGACAAAGAACAGAUAAAUGAGAAGGAGGACAGAGGACAUUCCAUUCCUAACUCAGCCAAAGGUUGACAUUUCACAAAGAAUAUGUGGACAUCCAUGUUGUGUUGACAAAGCCCCAUGCCUGGGUACCGAGGUGUCCACAAGGAUGAGGGGACACGGAGCGCCCAGUUGUUGUAGCCACAGUAGCAGGGACGAUUGAACACUUGGGCACCUGAUCUUGUUCUUCCUUUCAAAGGAACUUGCACGGUCAUUCAGGCUGGGUUAGAGUUGUGCAGGUGGAAAGAAAUCUGCUGCACACGCCUUGGACUUGGAAUACAUUUUCAGAGAGAAGAGAAAUAGUCCCAGGUCCCCUCAUCACUGGAAAACAGACUUUUGACUAACAUGGCAGAAGGAAGAUCUUUCUUGGGUUUGGCCUUGCCUGAAGGUAUAAAAAACACUUCUACUUGUUAAUUUUUUCAUGAUUAUUUUUUAGACACUAAUGGAGAAAGUUCUACUAUUCUCAAAAUGAUAUUUUUACGUUUAAAGCGACUCACAUUUUCCCUCCAAUGCAUCUAACCUCAAUGGACCCAACAUCAGAAAGAAAUUAUAGUUUUGCUUUUGGCAGAAUCAGAUAUAAUCAACAAAAGUUCAUAAAGUCAAGUAAACUUUGAAACAUAU